rnacentral:rRNA from 1 species
GAUGAACGCUGGCGGCGUGCCUAAUACAUGCAAGUCGAGCGAACUGAUUAGAAGCUUGCUUCUAUGACGUUAGCGGCGGACGGGUGAGUAACACGUGGGCAACCUGCCUGUAAGACUGGGAUAACCUCGGGAAACCGAAGCUAAUACCGGAUAGGAACUUUUCCUUCAUGGGAGAUGAUUGACAGAUGGUUUCGGCUAUCACUUACAGAUGGGCCCGCGGUGCAUUAGCUAGUUGGUGAGGUAACGGCUCACCAAGGCAACGAUGCAUAGCCGACCUGAGAGGGUGAUCGGCCACACUGGGACUGAGACACGGCCCAGACUCCUACGGGAGGCAGCAGUAGGGAAUCUUCCGCAAUGGACGAAAGUCUGACGGAGCAACGCCGCGUGAGUGAUGAAGGCUUUCGGGUCGUAAAACUCUGUUGUUAGGGAAGAACAAGUACGGGAGUAACUGCUCGUACCUUGACGGUACCUAACCAGAAAGCCACGGCUAACUACGUGCCAGCAGCCGCCGUAAGAC